UACGUAGGGCGCGAGCGUUGUCCGGAAUCAUUGGGCGUAAAGAGCUCGUAGGCGGCCUGUUGCGUCCGCUGUGAAAUCCCAGGGCUCAACCCUGGGCGUGCAGUGGAUACGGGCAGGCUGGAGGCAGGCAGGGGAGAACGGAAUUCCCGGUGUAGCGGUGAAAUGCGCAGAUAUCAGGAGGAACACCGGUGGCGAAGGCGGGUCUCUGGAACGCAACUGACGCUGAGACGCGAAAGCGUGGGGAGCAAACAGG
rnacentral:rRNA from 1 species